UUGCACAUCAUUGCACACACUAGUAUUUCCAAACCCAUACACAGUGCAUUAACAUGCACUCUGUACCUAUACACCCUACACACACACAUACAUAUUACUUUUGCACCACACAUUUUUCUGUCAUUUUUUCAAUCACUUCAUCCACCAGCAGCAUGUUCACUCUGCAUUCACUUGUAUAUUAUACCUACCAUGUCAAUGGUUCUGGUAUAUUUAAUAAUAAUAACAUGAUAUUCUGAUAUGAGUAUCAACAAUACCUUCAUACUCUAUCAUAUUCUUUUAUACAUAUUUAUGCCAAGAUCUUGUUAGUACACAAUGACUUUAUACUCUUAUUACAAAUACAUAUUGAAUCAUUAUGGGUGUCGUCUGUUUUUCCUAGCCCCCCUCCCCCCCUUCUCGCAGGUUCACACCCGAGACUCCCUGCAAGCCUGUGUUUUGGUUGACUCCCGCCUGGAGUGACGGGGGACGUCCAUCAUGGGGAUAUUGGGAUCCUUUGUCUGCACCACGGCCAUCAUCUCUGGUUACACGUCACCUUCUAUAUGCUUCGAGCGAAUACAAAUCCCCCUGAAGAAGACCAAAUUGUGGUCGAAACGCGUCGGGGUAUUCUUAUGGAAGCUACUUCAUCAAUGGCACUAUAUAUUAUUCCAUUGUAUCAUUUAACAUUUAAUUGUUGUUGAGAAAGGUCUCCAACUGUCUGUAACCUGAAUGUAUUUUAUAUUACAACUAUCUGCAUUUUCAUUACUUGUGAUACAGAAACCUAGUAAAACAUUUUUUUAUAUAU